rnacentral:lncRNA from 10 species
UUUCAUUAGAAAUGUAAUUGCUGGGUAUGCAAAAAUUAGCACUGUUGGGGCUAGAGAGAUCUUUGUUUUCCUUUCUUUUGUUUUGUUUUGCUUUUUUGCCUAAUAUUGAUAGUGUUUUCUCGGUUUUGCCAUAGCCCUUCUGUCAAGAUGCUGGCAAUCAGUAUAUCAUGAAAAACAGACUGCCCUUUCUCGCAUUUAUUGAAGAGAGAUUCUCAUGAUCCUAUGGGAAAAUUAAAUGAAGCUAUUACUGAUGUGGAAGGAAUAGCUUCCUGUAACAGGAGACUGUGGCUUCCUAUAACAGGAGACUAUCACAGUUACCAGCAGGUAUGUGAACAGUGGCCCACUGCAGAGUUAGGAGCAGAAAUGAAUCAAAUUUCCUCAUUUCCUAUUAUUCUGGAGCAGUGCUUCUCAAACUGUAAUGUGCAUAUGAAUCACCUGAAGAUGUUAUUGUUGAAAUGCAGUAGAUCU